rnacentral:misc_RNA from 1 species
GAUGAAGAACGUAGCGAAAUGCGAUAAGUAAUGUGAAUUGCAGAAUUCAGUGAAUCAUCGAAUCUUUGAACGCACCUUGCGCUCCUUGGUAUUCCGAGGAGCAUGCCUGUUUGAGUGUCAUUAAAUUCUCAACCUCACCUGGUUUCUGACUUGUGUGAUGGCUUGGAUUUGGGAGUUGUGCAGGCUGUAGUUAUCUGCGGCUCUGCUCUCCUUAAAUGUAUUAGCAGGUCUUUUACCUCUAUCCCACCAGUGUGAUAAUCUAUCUACGCUGCUGGUUUGGAGACCCACUUGUGGGGGACUGGCUUCUAAUCGUCUGCAAAGACAACUUGACAUUCUUGACCUCAAAUCAGGUAGGACUACCCGCUGAACUUAAGCAUAUCAAUAAGCGGAGGA